GACGAACGCUGGCGGCGUGCCUAAUACAUGCAAGUAGAACGCUGAAGAGAGGAGCUUGCUCUUCUUGGAUGAGUUGCGAACGGGUGAGUAACGCGUAGGUAACCUGCCUUGUAGCGGGGGAUAACUAUUGGAAACGAUAGCUAAUACCGCAUAACAAUGGAUGACACAUGUCAUUUAUUUGAAAGGGGCAAUUGCUCCACUACAAGAUGGACCUGCGUUGUAUUAGCUAGUAGGUGAGGUAACGGCUCACCUAGGCGACGAUACAUAGCCGACCUGAGAGGGUGAUCGGCCACACUGGGACUGAGACACGGACCAGACUCCUACGGGAGGCAGCAGUAGGGAAUCUUCGGCAAUGGGGGCAACCCUGACCGAGAAACGCCGCGUGAGUGAAGAAGGUUUUCGGAUCGUAAAGAUCUGUUGUAAGUCAAGAACGAGUGUGAGAGUGGAAAGUUCACUGUGACGGUAGAUGACCAGAAAGGGACGGCUAACUACGUG
rnacentral:rRNA from 1 species